GCCAGACUCCUACGGGAGGCAGCAGUGGGGGAUAUUGCACAAUGGGGGGGAACCCUGAUGCAGCGACGCCGCGUGGGUGAAGAAGCGCCUCGGCGCGUAAAGCCCUGUCAGCAGGGAAGAAAAUGACGGUACCUGACUAAGAAGCCCCGGCCAACUACGUGCCAGCAGCCGCGGUAAUACGUAGGGGGCAAGCGUUAUCCGGAUUUACUGGGUGUAAAGGGAGCGUAGACGGCGAUGCAAGCCAGAUGUGAAAGCCCGGGGCUCAACCCCGGGACUGCAUUUGGACCUGUGUAGCUGGAGUGUCGGAGAGGCAGGCGGAAUUCCUAGUGUAGCGGUGAAAUGCGUAGAUAUUAGGAGGAACACCGGCGGCGAAGGCGGCCUGCUGGACCGUAACUGACGUUGAGGCUCGAAAGCGUGGGGAGCAAACAGGAUUAGAUACCCCAGUAUCG
rnacentral:rRNA from 1 species